rnacentral:rRNA from 1 species
CCCUUGUACACACCGCCCGUCACACCAUGGGAGUUGGUUGCACCAGAAGUAGUUAGCCUAACCGCAAGGGGGGCGAUUACCACGGUGUGGUCAAUGACUGGGGUG